UGGGGGAUAUUGCACAAUGGGCGAAAGCCUGAUGCAGCGACGCCGCGUGGGGGAUGAAGGCCUUCGGGUUGUAAACUUCUUUUGCUCUGAACAAGGCAUGCCUUUGGGGUGUGUUGAGUGUAGGGGUUGAUUAGCGCCGGCUAACUACGUGCCAGCAGCCGCGGUAAUACGUAGGGCGCGAGCGUUGUCCGGAAUUAUUGGGCGUAAAGGGCUUGUAGGUGGCUGGUUGCGUCUGUCGUGAAAGCUCAUGGCUUAACUGUGGGUUUGCGGUGGGUACGGGCUGGCGUGAGUGCAGUAGGGGAGGCUGGAAUUCCUGGUGUAGCGGUGGAAGGCGCAGAUAUCAGGAGGAAUACCGGUGGCGAAGGCGGGUCUCUGGGCUGUUACUGACGCUGAGGAGCGAAAGCGUGGGGAGCGAACAGG
rnacentral:rRNA from 1 species